rnacentral:rRNA from 1 species
UACGUAGGUGACAAGCGUUGUCCGGAUUUACUGGGCGUAAAGCGCACGUAGGCGGUUCGUUAAGUCGGAUGUGAAAGCCCUAGGCUCAACCUAGGAAGUGCAUUCGAAACUGGCGAGCUUGAAUAUGGAAGAGGGUCGCGGAAUUCCCGGUGUAGAGGUGAAAUUCGUAGAUAUCGGGAGGAACACCGGGUGGCGAAGGCGGCGACCUGGGUAGAUACUGACGCUGAGGUGGCGAAAGCGUGGGGAGCAAACAGG